GGCUCGGUAGUGGAGGGUCCACAUCUGCCUUCCAUUCAAAGUCAUUAGCUUGAUGCAGACAAAGCCUGUUUGACUCAGGCCCGAGCCA